rnacentral:tRNA from 1 species
GGGGGAUUAGUUCAUCUGGUAGAACAUUUGGUUCGCAAUCAAAAGGUAACGGGUUCGAGUCCCGUAUCCUCCA